rnacentral:rRNA from 1 species
GUGAGGAAUUUUCCGCAAUGGGCGAAAGCCUGACGGAGCAAUGCCGCGUGAAGGAUGAAGGCCUAUGGGUUGUAAACUUCUUUUCUCAGAAAAGAAUUAUGACGGUAUCUGAGGAAUAAGCAUCGGCUAACUCUGUGCCAGCAGCCGCGGUAAGACAGAGGAUGCAAGCGUUAUCCGGAAUGAUUGGGCGUAAAGCGUCUGUAGGUUGUUUAAAAAGUAUUCUGUCAAAGAUUAGGGCUUAAACCUAGAUAGGCAGAAUAAACUUUUAAGCUAGAGUUUGGUAGAGGCAGAGGGAAUUCCCGGUGGAGCGGUGAAAUGCGUAGAUAUCGGGAGGAACACCAAAGGCGAAGGCACUCUGCUGGGCCAUUACUAACACUGAGAGACGAAAGCGAGGGGAGCAAAUGGGAUUAGAAACCCCGGUAGUCC